rnacentral:rRNA from 1 species
GAUCCUGGCUCAGAAUGAACGCUGGCGGCAUGGAUUAGGCAUGCAAGUCGAACGGGAUCCUUCGGGAUCCAGUGGCGGAAGGGUGAGUAACACGUGAGCAACCCGCCCCCAAGGCCGGAACAAGCGCUGGAAACGGCGUCUGAAACCGGAUGAGGACCCCCCUCGCAUGUGGGGUCGUCCAAAUAUUCUAUACCCUGGGGAUGGGCCCGCGGCCCAUUAGCUUGUCGGCGGGGCAACGGCCCACCGAGGCGACGACGGGUAGGUGGUCUGAGAGGAUGGUCACCCACACUGGGACUGAGACACUGCCCAGACUCCUGCGGGAGGCUGCAGUCGAGAAUCUUCCGCAAUGGGCGCAAGCCCUGACGGAGCGAUGCCGCGUGAGGGACGGAGGCCUUCGGGUCGUGAACCUCUGUCGCCCGGGACGAUGAUGACGGUACCGGGAAAGGAAGCCACGGCUAACCACGUGCCAGCCGCUGC